rnacentral:rRNA from 1 species
UGGGCAACCUGCCCCUCUCUCUGGGAUAACCCCGGGGAAACCGGAGCUAAUACCGGAUACUCCGGCUGGAUCGCAUGGUCCGGCCGGGAAAGCUCCGACGGUCUGGGAUGGGCCCGCGGCCUAUCAGCUAGUUGGUGUGGGUAAUGGCCCACCAAGGCGACGACGGGUAGCCGGCCUGAGAGGGUGACCGGCCACACUGGGACUGAGACACGGCCCAGACUCCUACGGGAGGCA